rnacentral:rRNA from 1 species
AAACCUAACAGCUAGCCCCACCCCCUCAAAACAACAAUCAAUAUUUAUAAACCCAAAUACCCUAAUAGUAUAAACUAAAACAUUUUUCCCCCCUAGUAUGGGCGACAGAAAAG